UUCAAACCAGUGUUGCCAGGGUCGCUGUUUUCCCGCACAAUUGGGCUAUUUUGAAAAUGCAGUCGCGGGAAUAAAGUACCACAGGCCGCAAAAAUGUUUGUUUGUAGAUAAAGAAAAAAAUAAAAGUGGAAUCGAUUAUAUGUGGGAAUAGAGCCCCUGGUAAUUAAUAUUUGGCAACAGCCGCUGCAGCUUGAGUGAACACGUGCGCCUUUAGCGUAACGUUACAAAGCAAGCGUCACGUCAGUUACGCCAAUGUCCUUGGUUACGCCCACAUUUACCGGGUUUAGCAUCUGUUGGCCUGAAGAGCAACAGUCUGGACAAGCAGCAUAUAUAAUGUCAGAACAACAGCAGAUCUGGAGAAAAGAGCAUCAGAGGCAAGUGCAGAGAAGAGAAAACAGGCCGCAGAAAAAAUGGCUGACAGUUUAAGACUCGCUAAUGCUCUGGCACAGAGGCCAGCCAGGAGACAGCACGGAGGGUGCAGAGAUAAAGCUGUGGGUUUAUCGGAGGGCUCUCGGGGGAACGACGGAGAAAGUUCAGGAAUUUAACGUCAGUCUGUGGGAGGCUCUCACCAUCAAGUAGGGCGAGUUGCCAUGGAGAUUGCCUGCCUGCCCCGCCCCUGGGAGGGGCCGAUUGGACGGGACCUGAUGAGACACGAGUCAACAACUGU